CCUCUUCCAUUUUCCCUCCUACCAUUUUUUAUCCACUCACCCUUUCCCUCCCUAACUCUCCAUUUCCUCACUCUUUCACUCAACUCUAUUGUUGGACAGUCGUUGCACCUGAAUGGCCGACUACUGUAUUCGAACAUAGGAAUGUGACUACUACUGCACCUGAACGGACGGAUGACGAUGACCCUCUUUGACGCGAACGGAUAGCGACUAUUACUACACUUGUUUAGACGAGUUGCUGCACUCAAUUUGGACAGAACGCAAGAAUGGUUUGCCUAGAAUCCAUUCAUUUUCAGAACAAGAUUUAAAGUUGAAUUUUGACGGAGAUGGAAAGAGUUUUGGGGUUGGUAUUUUAUACUUUUGUUUCAAAAUGAUGUUAGCUUCAAUGACAUUUGUUGAACUUUUGUUAUGCAAACUUGUGAUAGCUAGUGCCAGUACUAAUUUUGUUCCUUUUGGUUGAAGUAACUUGACAAUUAUAACUUAGGUUGAUAUUACUUGAACUCAUUAGAAAAUUAACGAAGUUUGUUGA